GAUGAACGCUGGCGGCGUGCCUAAUACAUGCAAGUCGAGCGAACAGACGAGGAGCUUGCUCCUCUGACGUUAGCGGCGGACGGGUGAGUAACACGUGGAUAACCUACCUAUAAGACUGGGAUAACUUCGGGAAACCGGAGCUAAUACCGUAUAAUAUAUUGAACCGCAUGGUUCAAUAGUGAAAGACGGUUUUGCUGUCACUUAUAGAUGGAUCCGCGCCGCAUUAGCUAGUUGGUAAGGUAACGGCUUACCAAGGCAACGAUGCGUAGCCGACCUGAGAGGGAGACCGGCAACAGUGGGACAGAGAUACGGGCAAGACGCCGAAGGGGGGAAGCAGGGGGGAAUAUUGCAAAAUGGGCGGAAGAAGGAAGAAGCAAAGUAGAGAGCGGGAUGAAGGCUUGAGGGGUGUAAAAAGAUAUCGGCUGUGACGAAGGGGGAGGAACGGUAAUGGGUAAAGAAGCACCGGAUAAAUACGUG
rnacentral:rRNA from 1 species